AGGAACUUAGGUUAACAUCCAGACCAAGAGCCUUCAAAGCUCUAAACGGGGGUGAAAAUCCCCCAGUCCCUG
rnacentral:tRNA from 1 species